rnacentral:piRNA from 1 species
UCAAUGACUAGUGCUCUCAUUUUAUAGAC